AACUUUCAGCAACGGAUCACUUGGUUCUGGCAUCGAUGAAGAACGCAGCGAAAUGCGAUAAGUAGUGUGAAUUGCGGAAUUCAGUGAAUCAUCGAAUUUUUGAACGCACAUUGCGCCCCUUGGUAUCCCAAGGGGCAUGCCUGUUCGAGCGUCAUUUCAACCCCUCAAGCUUUGCUUGGUAUUGGGCAUCAUUAUCUCUUUUAAUUAAGGGUAAUGUGCCUUAAAUGUAGGCAGCGGCAAGUACUAGUUCCGAGCGUAGCAGUUUAUAACAUUUCGCUUUAGGGAUUUUAGUAUAUUGUCAGCUAUAUAGUUAGUCUUUUACUAUUAUUUGACCUCGGAUCAGGUAGGGAUACCCGCUGAACUUAAGCAUAUCAAUAAGCGGAGGCU
rnacentral:misc_RNA from 1 species